rnacentral:sRNA from 1 species
UGCAGGGUUCUCCUGCUAACAGCGUCAAGUCCGUGGGGACAUGAAGAUAUCCCCCGAAAUAAGUCGCCGAUAUUGGCGUUGGGUGGAGAAAUGAACAAGCCCUUGUUGAAAAAUGUUUUUUCUUGCCAAGAAACGGCUAUAAGACGUCAACGAUCCCUCGGUACGAGGCAUUAUGACGGGUCAGUUAGCUGGGCACGUUAGCUUUGUUGAUCGAGCAUGUUGCUGCUGGAUUUUGAAAUCCCACUCAAAAAAGGGCUUUGUUUGGCUAUAGACCUCUCGAACAGCUGUCAGAGAAGUCGAUGUGAUUUAAGAAUUGAGGCCAGGGAGCAUUCCUCAUCAAGCUUGAUUUAGUCUGUUGCAUCCAUCGCUGUCAAGUCGGGGUUAUAAAAUGGCUGCAUUUAACUCUACGUCUUUUUUUAUCGAGGCCUGAGACUUUCAAUGUGACAUCGAAGUCUCAAUGGCAAGGUAUGGCGAUCAAAACAAGGAA